rnacentral:rRNA from 1 species
CUCAGAUUGAACGCUGGCGGCAGGCCUAACACAUGCAAGUCGAACGGUAACAGGAAACAGCUUGCUGUUUCGCUGACGAGUGGCGGACGGGUGAGUAAUGUCUGGGAAACUGCCUGAUGGAGGGGGAUAACUACUGGAAACGGUAGCUAAUACCGCAUAACGUCGCAAGACCAAAGAGGGGGACCUUCGGGCCUCUUGCCAUCGGAUGUGCCCAGAUGGGAUUAGCUAGUAGGUGGGGUAACGGCUCACCUAGGCGACGAUCCCUAGCUGGUCUGAGAGGAUGACCAGCCACACUGGAACUGAGACACGGUCCAGACUCCUACGGGAGGCAGCAGUGGGGAAUAUUGCACAAUGGGCGCAAGCCUGAUGCAGCCAUGCCGCGUGUAUGAAGAAGGCCUUCGGGUUGUAAAGUACUUUCAGCGGGGAGG